rnacentral:piRNA from 1 species
CGGAAUUCUGGGCAAGAAAUGGCAAGU